GACGAACGCUGGCGGCGUGCUUAACACAUGCAAGUCGAACGGAAAGGCCCUGCUUUUGUGGGGUGCUCGAGUGGCGAACGGGUGAGUAACACGUGAGUAACCUGCCCUUGACUUUGGGAUAACUUCAGGAAACUGGGGCUAAUACCGGAUAGGAGCUCCUGCUGCAUGGUGGGGGUUGGAAAGUUUCGGCGGUUGGGGAUGGACUCGCGGCUUAUCAGCUUGUUGGUGGGGUAGUGGCUUACCAAGGCUUUGACGGGUAGCCGGCCUGAGAGGGUGACCGGCCACAUUGGGACUGAGAUACGGCCCAGACUCCUACGGGAGGCAGAAGUGGGGAAUAUUGCACAAGGGGCGGAGGCCGGAUGCAGCAACGCCGCGGGCGGGAGGACGGCCUUCGGGUUGUAACCCGCUUUCGCCUGUGACGAGGCGGGAGUGACGGAAAUGGGUAAAGAAGCACCGCCUAACUACGU
rnacentral:rRNA from 1 species